rnacentral:rRNA from 1 species
UACGGAGGGAGCUAGCGUUGUUCGGAAUUACUGGGCGUAAAGCGCACGUAGGCGGCUUUGUAAGUUAGAGGUGAAAGCCCGGGGCUCAACUCCGGAACUGCCUUUAAAACUGCAUCGCUUGAAUCCAGGAGAGGUGAGUGGAAUUCCGAGUGUAGAGGUGAAAUUCGUAGAUAUUCGGAAAGAACACCAGUGGCGAAGGCGGCUCACUGGCCCGGUACUGACGCUGAGGUGCGAAAGCGUGGGAGGCAAC